GUGCAUUUACAUGUAUUUUAAUCACAUUUUAGGUAGUUUUUCUGAUUCGAUAGGUGAACUGGAUGGGUGCCCAGUAAUACAAUGGGCGACUGCCUAGUGUUAAUGAAAAAUGACACUUUCUGACACAUUUUAAACCAAAGAAGCACAUAAUUAUGGCACCUAUAAUUUCAAACAUCACGACACUUGGAAAUACACGGUCCUUCACUUCUUUCUAACCCAAGAACUCACAGCACCUUCACGAUUCUUUGACUUCACCUUCACGAUCAUCUUCCAAAAUCAUUAAGAAUCCAUCACUAGGAAUUGCAUUCCAUUGUAUUGAUUUUCAUUACUCCACAUCAAUCUACAAAGGAUUUAAAGGUAUGUCAAUUACUUUCUCUUUAACUAUUGUGCUAUUGUUAUAACUUAAAAAUUUAGGCACAUUAUUGAGGAGUAUGGACAUUAGGUAGAUUGUGGUGUAGUUGGUUGGAUUGUCUGGUGGUGUGAUGUAAAGAUUGUGGAAUGAUUAGAACCCCAAUUUCUUCAAAUGUUAGGGCAAAAUAUAAUGCCUCCUAGGUGUUUGAUCAAUUGCCUACUUGAAAUUUCUUGACUAAUUAGGGCUAUUCGAGCAAUUGACAUCGUUGCUAUACAUUUGGGAUUGUUCUGUUAAAAUUCCUUGAAAAUCUAUUAUAGAAUACCUACACCCAAAUUGGCACAUUUGGCAUGACAUGGCUAGGCAUCUUCACUUCAUGUCACCAAUUUCGUCCACCCUCGUCUAACCCAAACAAUCUCUGUUUGACCUCAAAUUUGAACAUGAGUAAGACCAAUAUAUAAUCUUUCAUAUGUCCAGAGAUCGCUUGUGAAUCAUUAUUCCUCACAUUUUCCAAUUAUGAAAGUGCUUGUUUGGUUUUGGAUGGAAACAUAAAUUACCUCCUAUAUUUUAGUUUGGGGAAUGUGAGCCAUAUUUUCUUCAUCUAUUGAAUAAUACCCUAUCUUAUCCUAUCUUUCUGAAGGAAUUCUGUGAUAACUUCAAUAUUGAAAUUGAUAUCCUUGAUUCAUCGCACAUGAACCAAACAUGGGUAAGAGAUAAGUGGUUUUGACUCAGCCCAAUGGUGAUUGACAAAUAUUACGAGCUGGGCUACAUUGAUAUAGUGCCUUUACCAACUAGCCAGGAUAUGGUAUUGAUUGUCCAGUGCUUAUAUAAUAGAUGUAAUGCAUGGCAACUUCUUACAUCUCGGUUCAUGAAUAAUCAGUUCAACUCUGAGAUGAGACUCCUACACAUCUUCGUCUCCACCAGCAUCUAUCCUACAUCCCAGCGAAGGAAGUUCAACGAAGAAACGGCUCAACUACUCUAUCAGGCAUAGGGGCAUAAAAUUUAUUUAGUGUCCUAUGUCUUCACUUUUAUGCAAGAGUUGGCUGUAUUGAUCAGUCAGCACAGUAUCAUGUUUUCGUACCUUAUCAGUAGGAUCUGUUUGACUGUUGGGAUCCUACUUUUGCCAAAUGAAGAAAUUACUCCCUUGAUAUGAUCAGCAGAAGAAUGUAGAAAAUUUCGAAGCCAGGUUUAAAGGAUUAGAGAGAGUCCAGGAUCCCAAACAGGCACCUCCAUCACCUCAUCGAGCCUCAUACAUCGAGACAUACCUGGGUAGACAGUUGUUUCAUAUUUAGGUAAAUUAGGUAGAGCUUGGUAGAUCAGUAGGCUACAUGCAAAAUAUGUUAUUGGAGAUGCAGCGGAUGCUGGUAAACAUACAAAGGAAGCUUGUAAGAGAGAGUGACAAUGUACGUGGGUUCCAGCAACAUAAUGAUAGAAUGUGACACGAUUAAAGAACCAUCACAUAAGCUUACAAUGAGGUGCUUGAUCAAAUGCUAUGCUUUGGGAGUCAACUAGAAACGAUUGAUAGAAACAUGGUCCAGAUAUUAGGAACGUCGAGUCCUUGAGGCCUGCCACUUCUGCCUGCCAAGUGGACCUGGUUGACCCUUCUACUCAUCCACAUCUACCACGGGGAUUUUUUGAUCCUUUACUCUUUUACUUUGUUAAUUUUUUGCUUUUACAUUUCGAAUAAUGUAAUACUUUUGUUUAGGGAUGGAGUAAGUAUUAUGAUACUUAGAAUAUAUGUUCAUUUUCCAACUGCCAAUUGGGUCUGUAUAACUAUUUAAUUUUAAAUUUUAAAAAAAAAAUUAAAAUAAAAAAUCCUAGAGUAAUG
rnacentral:lncRNA from 1 species